UACGAAGGGUGCAAGCGUUACUCGGGAUUACUGGGUGUAAAGCGUGCGUAGGUGGUGAGUUAAGUCUGAUGUGAAAUCCCCGGGCUCAACCUGGGAAUGGCAUUGGAUACUGGCUCGCUAGAGUGCGGUAGAGGGUGGUGGAAUUCCCGGUGUAGCAGUGAAAUGCGUAGAGAUCGGGAGGAACAUCUGUGGCGAAGGCGGCCACCUGGACCAGCACUGACACUGAGGCACGAAAGCGUGGGGAGCAAACAGG
rnacentral:rRNA from 1 species